GCCUUGCUUCUUUUAAAAGUGUAUUCCUUCCAUGUAAAGUGUGGAUGUCUUUCAUUUCAUUCUCUUGCCUAAUUGUUCUGGCUAGCACAUGCAGUUGAAUACAAGUGCCUUGUUAAGAACCAUUGCUGAGGAAUGAGUGCUUUUAUUUGGAGGUAAGAAGAUACUCUGACUUUUUUCCUUUAUCCUCUUUAGUCUCCUUGGGGGUUUGAUUAUGCUAUAAGGUGGGU
rnacentral:lncRNA from 13 species